UUUAUAUUACUUGUAUGAUUUGGUACACUUGCCAAUUUGUCAACAAGUUUUUGGCGCCGUUGCCGGGGACUCGAGGUUUAUUUUUCUAGUAGUGUGAAUUGAUUGAAUUCGACUUGAUUGUAAUUAUUUUUGUUUUAUUUUUGUUUUAUUGCGUUUUGUUUUAUUUUCUAUAAAAGUGCUUUUAGGGGUGUGUUUCUUGUGCAUGCAGGAGACAAUACAUACUAGAAGCAGG
rnacentral:lncRNA from 1 species